rnacentral:rRNA from 1 species
AUUGAACGCUGGCGGCAUGCCUUACACAUGCAAGUCGAACGGCAGCACGGAGCUUGCUCUGGUGGCGAGUGGCGAACGGGUGAGUAAUAUAUCGGAACGUACCCAAGAGUGGGGGAUAACGUAGCGAAAGUUACGCUAAUACCGCAUACGAUCUAAGGAUGAAAGCAGGGGACCUUCGGGCCUUGUGCUCCUGGAGCGGCCGAUAUCUGAUUAGCUAGUUGGUGAGGUAAAGGCUCACCAAGGCAUCGAUCAGUAGCUGGUCUGAGAGGACGACCAGCCACACUGGAACGGGGACACGGGCCAGACUCCUACGGGAGGAAGCAGUGGGGAAUUUUGGACAAUGGGGGCAACCCUGAUCCAGCAAUGCCGCGUGAGUGAAGAAGGCCUUCGGGUUGUAAAGCUCUUUUGUCAGGGAAGAAACGGUGAAGGCUAAUAUCCUUUGCUAAUGACGGUACCUGAAGAAUAAGCACCGGCUAACUACGUGCCAGCCGCCGCGGUAA